UAUAAUGCAGUCGAGCGAAUGGAUUAAGAGCUUGCUCUUAUGAAGUUAGCGGCGGACGGGUGAGUAACACGUGGGUAACCUACCCAUAAGACUGGGAUAACUCCGGGAAACCGGGGCUAAUACCGGAUAAUAUUUUGAACUGCAUAGUUCGAAAUUGAAAGGCGGCUUCGGCUGUCACUUAUGGAUGGACCCGCGUCGCAUUAGCUAGUUGGUGAGGUAACGGCUCACCAAGGCGACGAUGCGUAGCCGACCUGAGAGGGUGAUCGGCCACACUGGGACUGAGACACGGCCCAGACUCCU
rnacentral:rRNA from 1 species